GAUGAACGCUGGCGGCGUGCCUAAUACAUGCAAGUCGAGCGAACGGACGAGAAGCUUGCUUUUCUGAUGUUAGCGGCGGACGGGUGAGUAACACGUGGAUAACCUACCUAUAAGACUGGGAUAACUUCGGGAAACCGGAGCUAAUACCGGAUAAUAUUUUGAACCGCAUGGUUCAAAAGUGAAAGACGGUCUUGCUGUCACUUAUAGAUGGAUCCGCGCUGCAUUAGCUAGUUGGUAAGGUAACGGCUUACCAAGGCAACGAUGCAUAGCCGACCUGAAAGGGUGAUCGGCCACACUGGAACUGAGACACGGUCCAGACUCCUACGGGAGGCAGCAGUAGGGAAUCUUCCGCAAUGGGCGAAAGCCUGACGGAGCAACGCCGCGUGAGUGAUGAAGGUCUUCGGAUCGUAAAACUCUGUUAUUAGGGAAGAACAUAUGUGUAAGUAACUGUGCACAUCUUGACGGUACCUAAUCAGAAAGCCACGGCUAACUACGU
rnacentral:rRNA from 1 species